CUUCAUGAUUGAUCAAAUUUUUGUUGUUAGGAAGGACAAAAAAACAUUAGAUUUAUUUUACAAAUGAUGCAAUAUAUAAAGAAACUUUAUUGUAUUUAUCUCAAAAUAAAUCAAGCUCUAAAUCCUAUUUUAACUUAGAUAUGAUCAAUAUAUAAUGAUUCAAAGUUAUUUCAAAAUAUAAAUGAUGUAAUAGCAAUAAAAUAAUUUAAUCAAAAUAUCACACCCAUAAUCUAUAAGGCAAUAUAUGACUGCAAUUUAUUAGAGAAAUCGCCAGAACUAGAAUAAACAUAAGCUGUUUUGCAUUAAAAAAAUUAAAUAAAAAAAAGUUGAUUUGCAUUAUAUAUAAACACAUAUAAAUGAAGAUAUAUAAUAAAAAUAUAUAUUAAAUGAAAUUUUAUUGAAUUAAUAGAUUAUCGAAUAUCAAAGAUAAACUAAUAAACAAUUAUUAAAAAGAGAAAAAUAAUCAAAUAUAUCUAUAAUAACUGAUUCAUAACCUAGCACAAGAAUAAAAAUAAAUAUAAAUACUAAAUUAAUAAAAUAACUAUUGCUAAACAAUUUGCUCAAAUUCUGAUGGUCCACUAAUCAAUGAGAAAAAUAAUAAAUAAGUUUGCCAUUUAAACUCAACAGAUAAAUUUUCUUUAUUAAAGUAUAAAUGAUGAAAUAUAUGGCAUGUAAUAUAAAUCUUAUAAUUUGAAUUUGAAACUUUAAUUAUUAAAUUUAAAACUAUCUAAACUCUGAUUUUAAUAAAUUUUUAAUUGAAAUGAACCUUUUGAUAAGAUGAGUCCAAUGACAUCAAAAGUUUCAUGAUAUUAAGUCUAAAUGAGCUUAGAUUAAUAACUUGAAGCAUAAUUCAAACCUUAUAAAUAAUAUAUGAUUAAACAAACAAUCUUUGAAUUUUUUGUGCUUAUAGCCAAAAUGAGCGUCUCGAUGAGAGAAAUUCAAUAAGACUGGGAUCGAUCAUCAUGAUUUUAUUUUGUGUAGUGAUCAUCAAGCAUUGCAGUUUUUAAAUACUCAAAAGAACAUCAAUCGAAUGCAUGCAAGGUGGGUUGUUUUUUUUGCAUAAAUUUAGCUUUAUACUCAAACAUAAGUCGGGACAGCAGAACCGAGUCGCCGACGCUUUGAGCCGACGCUCCGCAUUGUUAACACAACUACAGACCGAAAUAACUGGGAUGGAAAAUUUGAAAGACCUCUACUGCACCUCUAUAGGGUGCUCGCUGGACAACCAUUCGGAGACUACACACUUAGGCACGGGUUCCUGUUUAAAAGAAAUUCAUUAUGCAUUCCGAACUCAUUAGUUCGCCUACAACUAAUCACCGAAAUGCAUGCCGGAGGACUUGCAGCUCAUUUGGGUAGGGAGAAAACUAUAGAACAAAUGAAAGCACAUUUUUUUUUGGCCUCACCCGGGCAAGGAUGUUACAAAAUACGUGCAACGUUGUCUCGUAAGCCAGUUAUAUAAAUGGAGUAGUCAGAAUACCGGAUUCUAUAGUCCUUUACUUAUUCAAGUCUCUAUUUGGGAGGAUCUCAACAUGGAUUUCAUACUGGGUUUGCCACAUACAAAGAAAGGAGUCGAUUCUAUCAUGGUUGUGGUUGAUAGGUUUUCGAAGAUGGCUCAUUUCAUAGCCUAUAAGAAGAUGUCUGACGCUCUCGGUGUUGCUCGUUUAUUUUUUAGGGAAAUUAUACGACUCCACGGGUUACCACGAAGCAUCACCUCCGAUCGAGAUGUAAAGUUUGUUAUCCACUUCUAGAGGGAGCUUUGGAAGCAACUAUAAACUGAGAUCAAGUUAGGCUCCGCCUACCAUCCACAGACCGAUGGUCAGACGGAAGUAGUCAAUCGCACUCUUGGCAACAUGCUCCGAUGUUUGGUGCAAGAUAAUCCGAAGAAGUGGGAUGAAAUUUUGAGCCAAGCCGAGUUUGCUUAUACUAUGCCGAAUCAAUCCACACGUAUGUGCCCUUUUAAUAUUGUCUAUACUAAGCCGCCUAAUCAUAUUGUAGACAUUGCCGUCCUUCAAAAGUGUCACAACCCGGCGGCCACCAAGCUCACAGAGGAUUUCAAAGUCAUGCUAGAGAAUGUUCACAAGACUCUACAAGCUUCUAAUGAAUCCUACAAGCAGAAGGCUGAUGAACAUCGCCGAGCAAAAGUCUUUCAACCAGGGGAACUGGUUAUGGUGCGAUUCAGAAAAGAGCGCCUUCCCACAGGUGCUUAUUCCAAGCUUAGUUCUAUAACGCUUGGUCCAAUCGCCAUUAAGCACAGAUCAGCGAAAACGCCUGUGGUGGACCUGCUGCCCAACAUUUUGACAUCUGCUACGUUCAAUAUGACCGAUAUUAGCCGCUACUAUCCAGCUUAUUCUGCAGUCACUGAAGUCAAUUCAUCAGACACAAAUUCUUCUGAAGUGGAGGAGGAUUGAUGUGGAAUUCCUUUGCCUACAAUAUUCCGCAUGGCCACUACAACCUUAGUGAUACCUUUUUCCGUUAUUUAGCAUAGCUUCCACUACUUCUAUAGCUAAUUAUAGUACUAUAGUACAUUUACCUUUUUUUCUCUUGUUGCACCUUUUCUUAGAAACUGAAGUUGCUCAUAUAGGAAGGGGGGAUGAUAGACAAAAGUAGUUUUCACUCCUUUGAAUAUUACCGUCUUCCAAAGUGGCAAUUGAUGCCUCUGGGACAACGGUUGCAAAAUGAUACUAAUGAUGGCUUCUUGCUUUAAAUUUUGCGUCAUGAGAAGGUUCUUCGAGGAUGCCUAAAAGAUGGUAUUUAGUGGGGCCUAAUUCAACACAUUGCACUAGUAAUUGUUCGUAACUAUGAAAAUUAUGAUUAUCUUUGCCACUGUAAACAACAUUAUGUUUACAAUACAGAUGUUUCAUGAAUUCAGACAUUGGAGAUUUGUUAAGGAUUUAUUAAGUAGUGUUCUUGUUUAUAUCAUAACGAGAGUGUGUUUCAUUUGUAUAACCGUGAAUGAGCGUUUGUGUCAUAGUGCUUACUAUUUGUUGGCUUUGUUGUUUUUUUUUUAGACCUGUCAUUCUCUACGAUUGGUUUGGCAUUGUCUUCCAUUGUUGGUUUACUGUGAUUAUAAUAGCCCAUCUCCACUUGGCAAUUAUUACGUCCGGUCUCCGGACCUAGAAAUAGGUCCAGAUAUCCACUAAAAAUUUGCCACGUGGACUGCACUUUCACUAAAAAAAAUGCAGGUAAAGCGUAGGUAAGUGCAGGUAAAGCGUAGGUAAAAAAGCACAGUCAAAACACACCUAAAGCGCAGUCAAAGCACAAUCAAAGCGCAGUCCAUGUGGCAAGUUUUUAUUGGAUGUCCAUACCUAGAAAUAAGUGUGAUGACCGGACCUAAUAAUUUGCCUCUCCACUUAUGUUUGACUAUCUGCCAAGUAUAUUUCCCAUUGGAAACCUCCUCCACUUAAUGCAUCUCCCUUUUGGAAAAUUAUAUGCAAUACAGCUGGAAGAGUAAAGCAUAAAUUCUCUUUUGAGGCCUCUUUUAGCUAUAUUUCUCUUCAUUGGGAUCAUCGGUGUGAUGGGGCAUGCCUAUCUGCUUCUCCGUUUUCUCACUCUAUUUUUAAUAGUUUCCCCAUUAACUCUCCCUUUUCUUUUCUUAUUGCUAAAAAUGGCUGGAUUCUUCCUACUGCAACUCAUAAUCAAAUCUCUGAUAUUAUUUCCUCUAUCCCCAUUAUUAAUGCUUCUUACAGGAGCUUGAUUUGGAAUACUUCUGCUUGGGAUAGUUUUAAAGCUUACCUAUUGGAAUUUUAUAGAGAUACACAACUCUCCUUGGCCUAUUGGUUGAAAGCUUAGGCUUCCAACUAAAAGGUCCAAGGUUCGAGUCCAUGUGUAUGCGUUGUGUGUGUGAGUUUGCCUUAAAUGGCCUAAAUGUCCCAAAAAAGAAUUUUAUAGAGAUGAUACGGAAUGUAAUUGCCACAAAUUUGUCUGGCAUAAGUUUUAUGCCUUCUUGAGAUAUUCUGUUUAUGUGUGGAUGACUAUUUCUGGAGGGUUGAAAAUUGCAGAUGUUUUUUUGAGACAUUUAGGCCAUUUAAGGCAAAACUGCAGAUGUUUAUUGAAGUGGAAAAUUCCAGUAGAUAAUAUGUGCUCCCUAUGCCAUUCUUUCCCUGAAAGUCCUACUGUUUCUCUGUUAUUUCCUAGUCCAUUCCUGGGAUUAAAAACCAUUUAAUGCGGCUCAAUUUGUUUCAGAUUUUCGAUGUGGUGGGUGAAUUAGUUUGCUAUGUUGCUAGUGCUAAGAACAUUUAUUUGCUUAUUACUUGCUGCACUAUUUAUUGUAUUUGGAGGGAAGUUUGGAGAUUUAGCUGGAAAUUCUUCUACUAUUUGCCUCAAAAUCAAGAAGGGGACUGUCUAAACGAGCUGUUGAAGAUAUAAUGUCUCUGUUAUGCUUUUUCUGCUGGUGUGCCUUAAUUGCCUUUAAGUCAAACUUUGUGAAAUAUGGGGUUUUGCAUGAUUCAGCUAUGCUUCUAAGUCUAUUUCUAUUGGUUUGGAGGGAUUUUGGCCUGCCAUGAACGAUGAUUAUUUCUUUCAAAUCAGACCUCUCCUUUUGGAGCAAUUAUUACGUCAGGUCACCUGACACGUCUAGAGACCAAUAAUCACGCGUCACGUCACCUGAAACUCUGUAUUGCUCAGUAUACAUCCGGAUUUUCAGUUUUUUCUCUGGACGUAAUAAUUACUCCUCCCCUUGGAUGAUCUUCGGGCAACCAGGGAACUGUUCGUGCUUGUUUUCUGAGCAGAAUGUGAUGCGGAGAUAUAAGACCGGCACAGUAUAACAAACACAUACGGGCGGACAUCUUAUCAUAGAGCUGCUUUAGUUAGUUAGUAGUGGAGCUACUCUUAGUACUAUUUCUAGUUAUACAGCAUAUUUUAUACCUUUUUGUUAUUUUACUGCUUUAGAAUACUUCUUCUAUUAAGCUCAGGGAAGAAGAAGCAAAAGGUAUGCAAUAGUUUUUACAGUUUAAUACAAAUCAAGCUCUGCAACUACUUUGCAAGUUUUUACUAUUUCA